rnacentral:rRNA from 1 species
CCCUUAGAUGUUCUGGGCCGCACGCGCGCUACACUGACGAAGUCAGCGAGCAUCUCCUACGCCGAAAGGUGCGGGGAAUCUUGUGAAACUUUGUCGUGCUGGGGAUUGAUUUUUGAAAUUCUUGAUCAUCAACGAGGAAUUCCUAGUAAGCGCAAGUCAGCAGCUUGCGUUGAUUACGUCCCUGCCCUUUGUACACACCGCCCGUCGCUCCUACCGAUCGAAGAGUUAGGUGAAUUGUUUUGAUCGAUAAGAUUUGACUAUGGUCAACUCUCGUUGUGAAAUUCUGUGAAUCUGACUGUUUAGAGGAAGGAAAAGUCGUAACA